AAUAGCCUUAAGUAAAGAUCCGUCCUUAUUGCCAGCCAUAACUUAUCUGGAUAUUUACAACUAUCUCGUGCAUACAGUAUCCGCAUACACUCACAGGAGCUGAAAGCCUUCAAGUCACUUGAGUCAUAUAACUACUUCAUCUCUGGCAAAGUCAACAGCCUUCUUACUUUUGUUCCACCAACGACAUCGUUGUGAUCGCAGAGGUUAAACACAGUCAGGAGUUAAGUGCCCCACCUCUGCGCCCAUGGGUUACUGCCCAGAAGGAUGGCAUUAUAUUGGCUGCACACUGCACCUGCAUGCCGUGAUUAGGUGAGACAUGUAGCCAUGUUGGAGCGGUUCUUUUCACCAUCAAGGCAGCUGUUUUGCUCCGUGAGUCCCAAACUGUGACAGAAAAACCUGCAUAUUGGUUACUCCCAAGUGGACAACCAAAGGAAAAGUACCUUGAAGUAGAAAACAUUGACUUUCACUCAAAAGCUACAAUCAAACACAGACUGGACACAACAUUUUCAGAAGGGAAACCGAUACAAUACAAGGACAAACAAAAGCUACCUGAUGUGUCAGAGCCAACAGAUGCUGAGAUCGCUACUUUCCUGGGAGAGCUACAUGCUACAGGUCCAGACACAGAUGCUUGUAUGCAAUAAGGAGUUUGCUGAUUUUGUUGUAUGGUCAGAAAAUGAUGUACACACAGAGAGGAUAGAACCAGAUAUUGGACUCUGGGAAGUAAUCAAGU